rnacentral:lncRNA from 1 species
AUGCAAAUGUAGGUGAUGUUUUCUGAACAUCCUGAUAUCUUGUUUGCAUUUUUCUGAGUUCAUAUCAACUUUUUAUGAAUGUUCAAACGACUUUGACCAUUAUUUUGAAACUUCAUAACAAGUUGAUAUGAACUCAGAAAAAUGCAAAUAAGAUAUCAGGAUGUUUACAAAACGUCACCUACAUUUGUAUGUAAUUUUUAUUCCUGAAAAAAAUAUUAUUUAUACCUUUUUAUUUUUAAUAAUGUUAAAAACAUUAACAAACUUAGGCAGUUUAAACGGUACUUUUUUAAUGAAUGCAAAUGACAUACACAUAAAGGUAAUGUUUAUCUGAACAUUUUCAUAUCUUAUUUGCAAUUUUCUGAGUUCAUAUCAAUUUGUUAUGAAUUUUCAAAGUAUUGGUCAAAUGGUCAAAGGGCAUUCAGGCGACUUAGGAGGAAAAUCUAAGGGCAAAACUGAGCAGAGUCAAAAAGUAAGGGCAAAACCCGUGGGUAGGUUCCAACUAGGGGCAAAAAUGCAUUUGUCCCAAUUUUAUAACCAAAGCAAAUUACCAUGCUGUUCUAAAGACUCUCAAAAUAAUAUAAGUGAAGUACGAUAGUUCAUUAAUUUCUAUAAAAUAAAACCACCGACGUGCUCUAAAAAAUAUAAGUGAAGCACAUAGAGCAAAAAUUUCCUAGCUCAAAAGAUAUAAGUGAAGCAUAUAGAGCAUUCUAAUAAAUUACGAUUCAUGCGCGUCUCUACUAAAAGGUGUGUACAGCAAGGAUAAUUGUGGCAAACUGAAAAGAAAAUACUCAAAUCAUACAAGACGCUCCAAGCAAAACACAUAUCAUGUGGUGAAUAAAUAUAGCCUCAAGUAAAGUUACCGAUAGACGAAGACGAAAGAGGGGAUGCCUUCCCGGGGCAUUCGCAAGCUUAGGCUCUUUGGCCUCCUUGAAUAUUACCUUGGGGUGCCUUGGGCAUCCCCAAGCUUAGGCUCUUGCCACUCCUUAUUCCAUAGUCCAUAAAAUCCUUACCCAAAACUUGAAAACUUCACAACACAAAACUCCAACAGAAAAUCUCGUAAACUCCGUUAGUAUACAAAAAUAAAUCACGACUUUUGGUAUUGUUAUGACCUCAUUAUUUAUUUAUAUUGGUGUAAUAUCUACUGUAUUCCAACUUUUCCAUGGUUCAUACCCCCCGAUACUAGCCAUAGAUGCAUGAAAAUAAGCAAACAACACGCAAAAAACAGAAUCAGUCAAAAACAGAACAGUUUGUAGCAAUCUGGAUAUUUCGAAUACUUCUGAAUCUCCAAAACUCCUGAUAAAUUAGGAAGUCCUAAGCAAUUUGUUUAUUAAUCUUCUGCAAAAGGAAUCAACUAAAAAUCACGUUCCUGUAAUUUAUGAAAAUUAUUUUCGUGGGCGCAAAAGUUACUGUUUUUUAGAAAGAUCAGAUUAACUAUUACCGUAGGCUAUCCCAAAGGUCUUACUUGGCACAAACACUAAUUAAAACACAACACCACAUCUAACCAGAGGCCAGAUGAAAAAUUUAUUGAUAAACAGAACCUAAAAAGCAAAAACAAAAAUAAAAUUGGGUUGCCUCCCAACAAGCGCUAUUGUUUAACGCCCUUAGCUAGGCAUUAAACACGGAUAGAUCUAAGUAUAAUCGUAAUAAUGAUAAGGUAGAUCUUGAAAACUCAUCUCAUAAUCCCUACGUUCAGCAGCGAGUUUUCUUUGUGGUAAGCAAAAAUAGUCAAAAGGGCUAAAUUUAAUAGGACAAGAAUCCCCAAGAUCAAUUUCGGGAGGAAUUGGUUCCUCCUUUGGCCCUUCAUAUUGUAUGACCAACUCAUCAUUAUAAGUGUUCUUUUGGCAAAAAGUCAUGAGUUUAUGUCCAAGACAGAAACCCAAUCCGUUGCUUUGUAUAGCAAAGUUAUUAUUAAGCUUAGAAAUCUUAUCAACUAAAACAUCGGUGGGGACUCUCUUUCUUAAAUUUUCAUUAUAAGCAACAUGAUCUAAAGAACGUAAACGCAUUAUAUCCUCUUGAUUAAAGAGAAUUCCCUCUAUGGGAGGAUGACCACCAUCUACUUUAUAAUGAGCGAAAAUUUCACUAGCUUAUUUCAUAAUAAAUCUAAACUCAUGAGCUAGGAAUAUAGUGGCGGCGCGCUUAACACAAGAAUGCUCAAUAUUAGAAAACUCUAGAAAAAUCCUUUGUAUGGAUGGAUGCAUGUGAACAAAUUGUCUUUCAAGUUCAACAACAAGCAAAGAUAUAGCAUCCGCAAGGCUACUAGUUUUAUGGAGAAUAGAUCCACCCAUAGUGGGGAGUGCACCGACACAAAUAAAGAAAUCUUGAUUAACCCCUUUUCCAAUAAUAUUUCCGCUGCCUAUGUGGAAUUUCUUAGCAUGCAAGAUAGUAAUUUCCUCAUGAGGAUCAGAAUUAAAAAAAGUAUCAAAGUUUCCCCCAUCCUUACUACUAUCCUUUUCAGCAAUAACCUCCCCAGUUUCAGACAUGGUGGUGGCAAACGAGCAAACGAUUAAGCGGGGAAGACGAAAGGAAGAAAGGGAGAGGAAAAGGAAAAUAUUUUCAAAAUCGUUUUAGAAGUGGGGGAGAGGAAAACGAGAGGCGAAUGGUGAAUAAUGUAAUGCGAGGGAUGAGAGUUUAUGAUGGGUACUUGGUAUGUCUUGGCUUGGCGUAGAUCUCCCCGGCAACGGCGCCAGAAAUCCUUCAUGCUACCUCUUGAGCUUGCGUUGGUUUUUUCCUUGAAGAGGAAAGGGUGAUGCAGCAGAGUAGAGUAAGUAUUUCCCUCAGCUUUUGAGAACCAAGGUAUCAAUCCAGUAGGAGACAACGCGACAAGCCACUGAAUACCUGCACAAACAAAUACCAACUUGCACCCAACGCGAUAAAGGGGUUGUCAAUCCCUUCACGGAUAUUUGCAAAGUGAGAUCUGAUAUAGAUGAUAAACGGUAAAGUAAUAUUUUUGGUUUAUGGAACGGAAAGUAAAAGAUUGCAAAGGAAGUAAAUAGGAAACUAAGAUUGUAGAUUGGAAACUUGUAAGAUGGAAAAUAGAAUAUCAUAUGAUGGAAAAUAGACCCGGGGGCCAUAGGUUUCACUAGAGGCUUCUCUCAAGAUAGAAAUUAUUACGGUGGGUGAACAAAUUACUGCCGAGCAAUUGAUAGAAAAGCACAAAGUUAUGACGAUAUCUAAGGCAAUGAUCAUGUAUAUAGGCAUCACGUCCGUAUCAAGUAGACCGAAACGAUUCUGCAUCUACUACUAUUACUCCACACAUCGACCGCUAUCCAGCAUGCAUCUAGAGUAUUAAGUUCAUAAGAACAAAGUAAUGCAUUAGGCAAGAUGGCAUGAUGUAGUGGAAUUAACUCAAACAAUAUGAUGAAACCCCCAUCUUUUUAUCCUCAAUGGAAACAAUACAAUACGUGUCGGUUCCCCUUCUGUCACUAGGAUCGAGCACCGCAAGGUUGAACCCAAAGCUAAGCACUUCUCCCAUUGCACGAAAAACCAAUCUAGUUGGCCAAACCAAAUCGAUAGUUCGAAGAGACUUGCAAAGAUAUCAAAUCAUGCAUAUAAGAAUUCAGAGAAGAUUCAAAUAAUAUUCAUAGAUAAGCUGAUCAUAAAUCCACAAUUCAUCGAAUCUUGGCAAACACACCGCAAAAGAGUAUUACAUCGAAUAGAUCUCACGAACAUCAAGGAGAACUUUGUAUUGAGAAUCAAAGAGAGAGAAGAAGCCAUCUAGCACCUAGCUAUGGACCCGUAGGUCUGUGGUAAACUACUCACGCUUCAUCGGAGAGGCAAUGGUAUUGAUGUAGAAGCCCUUCGUGAUGAAUCCCCCUCCGGUAGGACGCCAGAAAAGGUCCCUAGAUGGGAUCUCACGGGUACAGAAGGUUGCGGCGGUGGAAAAGUGGUUUCGUGGCUCCCCUGGAUGUUUUCAGGGUAUAAGAGUAUAUAUAGGAGGAAGAUCUAGGUCAGGGGGUCACCGAGGGGCCCACAAGGUCGCGGGGCCCGCCCUACCCCCCUGGGCGCGCCCUCCACCUUGUGGCCGCCUCGUGGCUCUUCUGACUUGCACUCCAAGUCUCCUGAGUGUCUUCUGGUCCAAGAAAAAUCAUCGCGAAAGUUUUAUUCCGUUUGGACUCCGUUUGGUAUUCCCUUUCUGCGAAACUCUAAAAUAAGGAAAAAACAGAAACUGGCACUGGGCUCUAGGUUAAUAGGUUAGUCCCGAAAAUCAUAUAAAAUAGCAUAUUAAUGCAUAUAAAACAUCCAAAACAAAUAAUAUAAUAGCUUGGAACAAUAAAAAAUUAUAGAUACGUUGGAGACGUAUCAGGCCCCCUUAAACAGGCACCCCAUAGUCCAACCGUUAUGCCCACUGGUCGUGCACAAGCUGUACUACCGCUUGGAGGAGCGGUACUACCGCUUAGCACGGCAAAAACAGCCCUACGAAACAAAAAACACGAAUAGUAGAUCUACCGGAGAGGUAGUACCGCUCGAGCGAGAGGUAGAGUACCACUCGGGGGAGCAGUACUACCUCUUAGAGAGGUACUACCGCUCUCUACUACCGCUCAAGCGGAUUGGGUAACAGAAGCAUAUAAAUAAGCGGAAGUGGAAGCGGUAUUGGUCAGCGGAAAUACCGCUUGAGAGGUACUACCGCUCUACUACCGCUCAAGCUGAAAAAUACCCAAGCAAAAUAGAAGGAUGCAAGAAGACCAAAACUACCAUAACUUCUGCAAACGAACUCCGAUUUCGACGAACUCAAGCUUGAUAGAAAGCUAACGACAAGAAUUGUCAAAUCACGACAAACAGAGAUUAUGCCUAUGAUAUAGAGAUGUGAAGCCUCCAUGAGUGAAGAGCCGACAUAAACUCCAACAUCGAAAACAUCAUAGAAGAUGCAUAUGAAAUCCGUUUUCGAUGAACUCAAGCUUGUCAUGAAGAUGACCAUAAGCUCUAAAACUCACAAAGAGAUACGCCAAAAAAGAACCAAGAAAGAUGAUGCAAGGAUGCAAUGAUUUAAGCUCUCUACGAAUGAUACGGUCAAGCUACUCACUAGAGAGCCCCCUUGAUAGUAAGGCAAUCGAUCCUAUAACCUGGUCUCCCAACUACCACCAAGAGACCGGUAAAAUUGAAAACCUAUCACGGGCAAACCUUUGUCUUGCACAAAUUCCACUUGAGGAUGAUGACGAUCUUGACUCUCUCAAGUUGGACCACCUUUCUUGAUUGUGUUGGCUCGAUGAAGGCUAGUUGAUUGCUCCUCCAUACUCCACUAUGGGCGAGCCACUCUUCGGCACAUCUUCACAAGUCCAUUGUCACAACAAUGGACGACAAGCUUCAAGCAAGAUCUCUUCGUGAUGCUCCACUUGAACUUGCACACCGCAAUCUUGAUGACGAUCACCACUUGAUGUCAUCCUCCAUGGGUUGUAUGAGAUCUUUCUCUUGACGCAAGCCCAUGGAGACACACCUAACCCCACAUAGAACUCUCACGUAGACCAUGUGUUAGUACACAGAGCGUAAUCGACAAUGCUUACCAUACCAUGGGAUCACUUGAUCCCUCUCGGUACAUAUUGUAUGCUUUGUGUGUUGAUCAACUUGAUUCACUCUUUGACUUAGUCUUGAUCAACCUUGUAUUAUGUCUUCUCUCUCACCAAUCUUUGGAUAAUUCCUUGAAUAGCACAUUGGUCAACACAUAAACUCUUUGAAACCAACAUAUGGACUUCAAGAAACGCCUAUGGACAAAUCGUACGAAUAUAACUCAAGGCAACCAUCAGUCCUUAUUAGAGAAUGUCAUCAAUUAUCAAAACCACACAUGGGGUCACCAUGCUCUUUCAGUGAUACUCCUUGGAAGUGCCUGGUUGGGGUAAACUUAGGGUUGGGGUGCUGCUAUAUGUGGGUUAGUGAUGGCUGCGGUGCAAUNNNNNNNNNNNNNNNNNNNNNNNNNNNNNNNNNNNNNNNNNNNNNNNNNNNNNNNNNNNNNNNNNNNNNNNNNNNNNNNNNNNNNNNNNNNNNNNNNNNNNNNNNNNNNNNNNNNNNNNNNNNNNNNNNNNNNNNNNNNNNNNNNNNNNNNNNNNNNNNNNNNNNNNNNNNNNNNNNNNNNNNNNNNNNNNNNNNNNNNNNNNNNNNNNNNNNNNNNNNNNGGGGGUGCGUUGUUACCCUUCGGCGGCUGUUGCCCUGCUGUGUUCGUGCUUGACAGCCUAUGAGCGGCAUCCUGGUGCUGGAUGUAGGGGAGAUGGUCUCCCCUCCGGCAUUGGCAUGACUGGGCUGUGGCAGAGCUAAUGGUUUCUCUUGCAAGGCUCGAUCCUCCUCUUCACUGCUCGUUGGCGGUCCACGGACUCCUCUGUUCCCGUUGUUCUGGUCGGCGUUGUGCUCUCCAACAACAUGGUUUUGUUUCACAUUGUGUUGGCAGUUUCGCUCUUUGGCCGGCUUUUAUAGUUUCGGCCUUGGGCGAUCUAUGUUUGUAAUUUUUCAGUCUUUUUUUUCCUCAUGCGCAGCCGUUGUAAUAAUAUGCACUUUGUAUCCUAGCCAGUUGAUGGCUUCGUUAAUUUGAAGUCGGGCUAAAUGCAUUUCAUUUAAAAGAAACUUGGAUAGGAACACACCAUUUAUUGCAUUAUAAUCGACUACACACGCAUCUUGCGAUGGAUCGCACCAUUAUUCGCUUGUAGUACUAGGCGAGGUCUAUCGCAACGCCAUUGUUACAGUAUUUAGAAAGUCUUUAUUGCAUGUCUUCUCGCAUCAUAUAGCCGAUUGACUAUGCGAACGGCCUCUGGUUGUAGCAGUCCAGGUUGUCGCCGUAGCUGACGCCGAGGAGGUCACAGUAGCGCUUGUAGAACCCGAUCCGGUCGGCAACACGGCCGUCCUGCCCGCGCCCGCACUCGAGCCCACCGUUGAUGAUGUUAGUGAUCACACCGUACCCAGGCACCCUCCCCGCCGCCUGGUCGGCGCCUGAGGGGCUCCACCGGCCUGUGAUCACGUCGUGGCUCGAAGGUUUAGGUGACUGCGGCGUCAUCCAGAACCACAGCGCCGUCUUGAAGGACACGGUCGCGUCCGUCGCCACGAGGUCCGGGUUAUUGAGCAGGUCGGUGCUGAUGGCCCGCCCCGCCGGCCCGUAGUUGUAGUUGUAUGAGAUCUGGAUGGGCCCGCGCCCGAAGUACUUCUUGCCCGGCGCGCACGGCCACUGCGAGCUCGGCGAGCAGUAGUCGGAGGUGGCGCCGCGCUCCUGGUUGAAGCAGUAGCCCCAGGAGUAGGGGCCGUCGGGCGCCGUCGGCCACCCGCCGGUGGUCUCGUGCGAGGUCUGAGCGAGGAACGCGGCCACCUCGCGCUUCCUGACGUCGGCGCCACCCGUGGUCGCGAAGCCCGAGAACGAGUUGGCGGCGGCGACGAAGGCGCCGUAGUUGUAGAACCCCUUGGCCAGGCACGCCGCGUCGUUGCGGUGCAGCAGCAUCUGGUCAAAGAGCGACUGCGAGAUAAUGGAGGACACGCCACCUCCGCCGGAGGGGGUCGGUACCGGUACCGGGGUGCCGCCGCUGCAGCCGUUGCACUGGCUCUGGCAGCCGGUGCCGCAGUAGUCGGAGGUGGUGCCGCAGAAGCCGAACUUGCUGCAGCAGAGGCAGUUGGGGCACGUCGCCCCGCCGGCCUGCGAGCCGCACUGCUCGGCGUGCGCGGACACGGCGAAGGCCGCGGCCAGCAUGGCCGCCACCACAACUCCUCUCAUCUUGGGCAAUCAAGCAGAGUCCGCUCAGCUGGUGAUUGUGUGUCACACUGCUCGUGUAGUGGUGUGUGUGUGCCAGAAUCUGUUGCAGUGCACGUCUUUGUAUAGCCAGCAAGCCACAGCAGACGUGCCCAACUUUCCACGAGGCCACGAUCGCUCUAGUUAGUCUAGCUGCUCAGUACAAGCAAGUUCGGCAGAUCUCGAGAGCGAUGCAGUACGUGUACUUUGUACGCAUGUUUCGAUCUCGUGUAAGCUAGCUACAGAUGAGUCAGUGAUCACUAAUGGAAGCAUGGAAUGCCGGUGCUGGUGCACAUGCCGGUGCACCGGACGUUGAUCGGGCUGGAAGUAAGCGUGGAAAAACCCUCUCAAGUCAGCUUCGGUUGCACUGCUGGUCAGAUUUUUCUCCCGCUUCCUGCGCGCAUGCAAGCAAGCAAGCAUGCAUGCAUGCACCAGCUCAGCUUUGAUGUGCGACCAAACAUUGACCGCCGCAUUAAUGGAUGGACGGACGUGGAAUUUUCUUGGUGAUGUCGCUUGCAUGCAUGGAAUUCCAUUCUCUUUCUACUUGUUUUUUUUCUGUUAGCGACGCCCUGCCGACCAGGCGGAUACAUAUGAACAGCCUCCAUUACGACGGAAAAUACACUGGAGCUCCUGGUGCUCCACACCUUCAUAUAAAUAUUAAAUUAAAAAAGGAAACUCAAUUCAAUGUUUUUUAGAAUUUGGGGAUAUCAAACAUGGGUGUCCAAUCUACUCACGUGUGAAGUUUCCUGAAAAGAUAUCAGGAAAUGUAUCCAUGUCGAAGAAAAUACAGUCCGGCCUACGAUCCGUCCAAACAAUAUUUUUUCUAUACGUUGGAUUAUUUUUGUCUUUUCAUCGAGAAUACAUUUUCUGAUAUUUUUCACAAAACUUCACAUGAGAGUAGAUUGAACACCUAGGUUUGAUAUCCCAAAAUUUCAGUUUUUUUAAUUUCCCUAGUUUGUUGUAUGAAUUUAAUACUCAUAUAGGGGGUGGAGCACCCGAGUGCUCCAACUCCUCUUCCCCAAUACAACACUAUUUCACAUAUUAAGAACUGAAUUACACAUCUUUCUAGGUUAAGACAAGAUUAUUGCAUUUUAAAGCUUGACAUGAAUAAAAUAGAGUAAAAUAACACUAAACAUCAUCUUUCCAGGUUUUAAGAGAAUGACUAACCUAGCGGACCAUAGAUACAUGUCCGUAGUUUUUAGAAGUCUCGAAACGAACGCAGUGGAACAAUGACAAGAAGAGCUCAAGCACAUCCAUGGAGUCAACAAAGACAUACUUCAGCACCUCUUGCAUCAUCCCCUUUCGCGCUUCCCUGAAGUCUUACGGCCAAGACAUGCACAUAUGAGAUACUAAGCCCUUAUUCUCUUCAACCCUAUAGAUUCUUCAAAAAUCAUAUUCCCUCCAGCCCAUAUUAAUUGUCGCUCAAAUGAAUGUAGCACUGAAAUAAAUCUAGAUACAUAUGUUUAAGCGACAACUAAUAUGGAUCAGGGAGUACUAAUAUGCUAUCUAGUAACCAUACUAAACGGUCUAUCUUGAAAAUGGUGAACCCAUCGGGAACCAACCAUAUUUCAAAUCCAACAUAUAGGAGAGGUUCUCUUCCUACCAUCUUCACUAGCCUUUCUCCCAGGAUGAUGCAGGCUUGUGAGUGGUGGAUAUGCAACAUUCGCUCCCUUUUGAAUGCUCGCAUGAGCUGCCCAAUAUGAUUGUGAUAUAUUUUCGUGUAAUGAUCAUAUUAGCUGCUGAACAUGAUUAUGAUAUUGUGUCUUGAUGGUUAUUGAAACAUCAAUAUCUUUAGAUAUAGUUACUUGAUUUGAUAUUAAUUUUGUUAGAUGUGUGUUGGAUCCUUGUUCAUGUAAGUAAUCAAGGCAUGAGUAUUUCAAUCUCUGCUACAAUAUGUGAAGGUCAUGUACACUGAAACCAAAUAGGCAAUGGAUCAUCAACAAGGAUCUAGGAUCAAAACUAGAUGCCUAUGAACAAAACAAUUUAUUAGCAUGGGUGGGUGGGAAUUAAGUUAUGUUGCCAUCUCUCGGCUAAUAUUCAUGAAUUCCCACUAACCAAACAUGGAAUAAAGAUAUCUCUCAAAUUCUCACGUGUAAUACUCAGUCGGCACCAAACAGGGGAUUUAGAAUAAAAUGGCCUUCCCACGUCUAAUCUCUUCAUAUAACUCCCUCCUCUAAAUUCCUCUACCCCUUCCCAAAGGUUACCGAACAUGUUGUAAGGGUCACCUCUUUUGACCUUAUGUUUUUUUUCAGAAACAGGCUUAUGGAAAGUGGUGGAAAUAAGCACCGGUAAGAGGAAACCUCAUGAAACUACUUUUCCUGUUCUUUCAGCUUAAGAAAUUUUGGAUUUUAUCUAUGUUAAGCUUUGCAAAGCCUCUAAUACCCCUCGACUUCAACUAUGUGUUGAUUUAUAGAUAAUAUAUUAGCAAUUUAUCGUUAUUAUACCGCAUAAAUGAGCAAAAAAAGAAUCUCAAACAUCAUUUAUAUCAUGAGUGCAUUUUGUGUCAUGUUUUUCUUAGCUUUUUUUGCAUCAUAGUCGCAUGAUGUUUUGUAUUUUACCACGUUUGCGCAUACCUUUUUGCCAGCUUUCGCCAGGACUACAAGGAAGCAAGAGAUUUGGAGCAUUGAAUGGGGAACACCAAUGUUUGGUGUAAAUUAUGCUAAUUAGAUGUCAUAAAAGCCUACCAUACGAAGAGAUAAGCACAUGGGAAGAAACCAGGUUGCAUUCUCCACUCAAGAAGAGUAGAAGAUAUUCAUACGAGUCGACAGCUCGUACAACAACGGUAGUAUCGUUCAGAUCUCGGAUGCGAUGAAUGGAUAGACUCCAGCCCGUGAAACAAAAGCAAAAAACCUCACUUCUAGAAGACAUCCGGAGGGGGAAUUGGUAGAAGGGCACCACCUCGCCACACCUUCGAUCAUGAAGUUCACACCAUAAAUCAUCAUCAACAUCAUCCACAUCCUAGACAUCAACUCCUUCAUUCAUCUCGUUGUAAUCCCAAACAUAGUGUGAAUUUGUAUGCAUAUCACAUCAAUCAUUGAUCUUCUAUUGACAUGAACACAUCGAUGAUGUCUUGUGUCUCUAUGUCUGAUUAAUUCCCUAGUUCUCAUGGACACGGACGAACCUUAUCAUUUAUAUGAUAUGAACGCCAGUAAGAUAUAUGAUCCUCGUAAUACGAUUCUGGUAAUAUUCUUCUUUAUAUUGUGUGUUUGUCGAUUGCACGACAUUUAGCCCAUUGGGAUUUGAAGGAUAUUAUUAUCUUUGUGAUGUGGGGUUAGAGAUAAAAUGGUGACAAAGGCUACCCAUCUUCUUAGAGGAUCAUUGGUAUGUAAAUAAUGGUGACCCAUGUGUUUUAUGCGGCGUCCACAGGGACACCCUUAUUGAUCAUCGUACUCCGUCGGUAGGUAUUGGAGGGAUAGUGUUGGCGUCUGUGACGCGGAGUUGCGGUAGUAUGCACAUAGCCCACACAAUACACAUAUAACAUGGAUUACAUAUGUCAAUCAAAGAUUGUGUUUCUACACAAUCAAGUACCAUAAAUACAAGGGGUGAAUCUGAACUCCCUGAGAACGCCUUUAGCCUUAGAUGCAGUUUUCAUCAUUUCCAUUACUCUCUUGUUCUUGAUUACUAUCCUUCUGCACUUUAAUUCUUGCUCUUGCACAUAGACUCUUGCAAUAUUUCCUUCUUCACAUCGCUUUUGCUUGGGAUCAAAUAUAACUUGCAAACACACUCGGGUAAAUCUCUAUAAGGGGCAAAAGACCAGUUCCUUGGCCCUCUGUGGGAUCGACACUCUUAUGUUGAAAACAACUACAACUAAAUUAUGUGCAAUUGCAGGACAUCAAGCUAUUUUCUUGUUUCAUUGUCGGGAAGCUCUCAUUUGGUCAUUGUUACAAGUUGAAAGUGUAUUUAUCUCUAAAUGGUAUUUUGUGUGAUGAUAAUGCGGUUAGUAGAAGUAAUGACGGUUGCUAAGAUUUAUCUCAGGUCAUUGGUUCCUUGGAUAUUUAUCGUGGAGAUGGUUCAACACCCUNNNNNNNNNNNNNNNNNNNNNNNNNNNNNNNNNNNNNNNNNNNNNNNNNNNNNNNNNNNNNNNNNNNNNNNNNNNNNNNNNNNNNNNNNNNNNNNNNNNNNNNNNNNNNNNNNNNNNNNNNNNNNNNNNNNNNNNNNNNNNNNNNNNNNNNNNNNNNNNNNNNNNNNNNNNNNNNNNNNNNNNNNNNNNNNNNNNNNNNNNNNNNNNNNNNNNNNNNNNNNNNNNNNNNNNNNNNNNNNNNNNNNNNNNNNNNNNNNNNNNNNNNNNNNNNNNNNNNNNNNNNNNNNNNNNNNNNCAUGGGUUGUCCUGGUUGUCCAAAGAGAUAUGCGCCCACCGAACUACUACCUGAUAUCCAAGCAAAUCUACCAAGGACAGAUCUGCCGGGGACACACCUCCACAUGCCCACCGACGAUGCUAGACACAUUACCGGGAUGGGGGCUAGGCGGGGAGAACCUUAUUCCAUCUUCAGGGAGCCGCCGCCUUCUUGUCUCCCUGAGCAGGACACAAACCCUAAAAAACUCAAAGGGACAUCUAAAAACAUAGCCCUCCUGCUGGCAAGGGCCGGGAUCCACCGCGCAGCCAUGACCCUAAGGCCACCGGAGACGAGGUGGACCGGCGGCGGCGCUGACGGGAGGCAGAUGAACCCUAAGCUUUUCUUGAGGGAGGAGGCGGUUUCCUGAGAACUUUUGAUCUUUGUAUCAUGAGCUUUGUUAAUGGAGUUGGAUCUUGUGAUGCCCAUCUAUCCUCUUUUUUUAUUGAAUUGAGUCUUGCUCCUCUAUGAGUUUCUUUAUGUUGAUAGUAUCUUUUAGGAACGGUGGGCAGAAGGGAAAUUCGCAGGGGCACGCACCUGCCAAGCCCUUGUCCGACUGCUCGAUUGCCUCGCGAUUCGUGAAGUAGUUCAAUCCUACACAAGGGCACAAUAAGUUUUAAGUUUUUGUCGUUGAAACUUAUGCUUUUUUAUCUGAAACUUGCGAUUUUCUCGCUCUGUUUUACAAGUUUCAUAGAUAAAUUUUUUAAGAUAUUUUUUUGUUGAUCGUAGGCACAAAAAUCAUGAUUUUAUCGUUUGCACGUACUAAGUUUCAAGAGUUAAAACUUAACACUUAUUUUUUGAUGUUAACUCUUAUUUUUUAAAUUCAUCAAAACGUAUUCAAAAUGGAUCUUAUUUGAAAGUCCUAGUCACGAGAAACACGAAUAUGAAAACAUAACUUAAUUUGGACUUUAUAUUCAAAAGAUAUAAAAAAAUUAAAAUCAAAAGACGAAAAAAAGCAUGCGCAAGGGACUCGGUGCCCCCCGCACUUGCCUGUCAGAAAUCCUGUCCCGUGACCACAAGCAUGCUACAAGCCGGUGGCGCUUGACCAUAGCCCCUCCUAGGGCGCCGGUGUGGGGGUCACGGUGGAGGCUUCAGACUCAAUUCUCAGUAGCACGGUGGCCGGAGCAUGGUGCCGGGCGGCUAGAGUGCAGGUGCUAGGGCGUUCCCACUAGGAAUCGUGGAAGAAAAUUUUGACGCUCGUGGGUUUGGCUGAAUCUUUUGGGAUGGAGGGGCUAUAUUUAGGCUCACUCCAAAAACAUUUUGGGAUUUGAAAGCCUAUUCGCGAUCAGUCAGAUGGAUAUAGUGACAAUUAACCAGAAGAAAAAAAAAACUGUCUACCUACCAUAAUCUGCUAAGGGCAAAACUGUCGCUGGCUAGCAUGCAAAGCCGGGCUUUGUUGAGGAUUUAUCCCGUUUAACUUCAAGGGUAAGACUACAAUGAUGUUCAAAAUCACUCUACCUACUUGCUACAACCUCUAGGAUAAAAGGUGCAGUUACAAAGAACAGGGGUCACAGAUCAUCAGGAACUUAACAAUAUACUAUCAAGGUUCUACCCCAUGUUAAAAGCAAUAUCUGAACAAUCAUCCUGAGAAUUAUCUUGAUAGCCUAAUAUAUGAUAUCUACUUCCUAUAUUGCGAGGAAUAUAUUAAGUCGGACCUGAAAGGUCUACAUAGUACCUCAGGUUUUCAGGUUCUAUUGAAAACACAUCAGAUAUUUAGCAACCAUCCUAUUCAUGUUAGUAAUCCGUUAUUGCUGUCUACGACCAACCUCCAUGGAACCUAGCCCUUGUCUCUAGUCCAUCAGGACCUUCAAACGAACCGGUCCGCACCGAGUUUUGGCGAUCCAUCACUGUGGGUUGCACUUGUGUGUCCCCCUUCCGGGUUAUCAAUGUGCCGGAUGUAUGCGUGAGGCCAUAGACCUGUCGUUGAAGAAUGUAAAAUCAUCAAUAAUCUUGACAAAGAUAAAAGAAGAUAAUGAUCCUAGCUUUCCAACAGAGCAAAUUACAGUAGAGUAUGAGAUAGCCCUGCUACAUCAAACUCCGGUCUUGAAUUACCUAGUAGUUUAUAAUAUAUCCCCCCACAAUAAAAAAUACAUCAAUAUAAGCAUUUCUCGCCAUGUGCAUAGCACAUGAUUAAUAUAAAAAAUUGGUGUGAAGGGCACCCGUUGUCAAUUGUGGUGACAAAACAUAAAGAUUAGUUUGAGCACUUCAAGGGAUAUCGUUGAAGAGUUUGUUACCAAAUUAUGUGAUGAACUGGAAAUUGGACACAAAACCUCCACGUUAUCUGUUUUCAUACAUGCUACUGUAUCAUCAGUGGUGCAUAACAACCCAAGUAUAUUACAGAACACACAAUGAAAACCUUUGCUCUGAUGAUUUUGUACAAAUGAGUAUGUGGUUAUAAUGCCUGAAGGCUAGACCUUGAUGCCAAUUUUCACUAUUGCAAAGCACUUUCCAAUUAACACCAGUGGUUUCUAAGAACUAUUCCCUAACUCAGUGGAGUCUUGCGAGUUACCCUAAAAGAAGUAUGAAGCAUACCAUUUUCAUCAGACGGCAGUGGAAAAAAUUGCAGGUAGCACAAAGAGGCAACCACCAGUCCUGCAGAAUUUUAGUUAACACAUUAGAUUAUCAAGAAUUACAUGUACAACACUUUUAAAUUCUAUCUUUAUUUGUUUUGCAACGUAAUCUUUAAUAGAUAACCAUGUCAGACCUACCCAGAACUCCACCAGUGCACACAUCUUGCCAAUGAUGCCGGUAGUCGUCUACUCGAGAAACAGCCACUAAGGCUGCACCAAGCAGAGGGAGAAAAAUAAUGCAGAGUUUUGCAACAUGGCCUCUUCGAUCAAAAACUUUGAUUUUUCCAGCUAGAUACCAUGAGAGGAACCCGAGGCCAGCAAAAGACACUGAGAAACAGAAAAUUUGUGAGUCGUUCACCUCAAGAACAGGUAGCAUGUAAAAGCUCUUGCAGUUUAGAGUAUCAGCAGUCAUAGUUUUUGCAUUGCUGAGGUAAAAGGGAACUGACGAACAUGCUUUCACUUACAAGAAGUAUGACCACUUGGGAAACUCUUGUGACCUUCUUUGAUAUCACUCGCUUUACCAUGACACAGGACGCCCGUAGUAAAAUUGUCAUAGGCCUGAACAUCAAGCAAAGCCAUAAGUUGCAUAGAAAGGUCAGAUGAAAUCGUGCGAAGGGCUCCACUCAAACAAUCAUUGAAAGAUCAACCAAAGGUGAGCACAUUACAGGUACUCCGUCAGGAAAACAGCGCCAAAAGAAAUCUGGACGUGGCCGACCAACACCAUCCUUAAUCGCAUCAGUUAAAACUGCAGUUAUAGCCACUGAAAAGAGGAGACCUGGUAGGACAAGCUAGAUUUCUUAUUAAUUGCAUAAGAAUAAGAUAUCACAAACUUGCAUGGAAGAAUAUGAACGAACCUAGUAUGGCAUGAUGCAAAUCAUAGACAUUCCUCCUCUUGAUGUAUAUACUGGUCAUGAUAAUCAUAGGUCCAAUGAUACCAUAUAUCUGCAUAAUCACGAUAAUUCAAGACAAUGUAGGAGGUUCAUGAAAAUAAACAGGAUAGAACUAAGAGUUAAAAAUAUAUACCGGCACCGUCCAAAAUGGCACCGUGUUGUCUUUCAUGGGAUAUCGGAGAUCCGUGAGCAUGUCCGAUCCAACAAAUCGAUGGAAUGGUUCUAUUUUAUUUAGUACUCCAUCCACCACAACUAGAAUAACCAGCACAAUCCAGUCAUACAUAUGUAGCCUUGCAAUUUUAGCUCCAUGCGAUGUUACAUAGGGUGGUGGAACUGCCACACGAAUAGGUGCUGAUGGAGAUGGCAUCGCUUCCUGAGUUUUGAUCUGUCAAUCCAUCCACCGAAUAGAUUUAAGAAACUAGUAAAUAAAUUAUAGCAAACAUGCCUAUUUGUCAAAGAAACAAUAAACUUUCAAUCACCACAUUCAAGAACCUUGAGCAUCGAAGAGAUGGUCAAGGCAAUACUUGCACCUGUUUCUAUGUUGUAGACUAGCAACCCAGGAACAAGGGUUCUUUAGCAUCAGCUAAGUUAUGAAAUUUGACUAUUUGGGAAAAUAUACAGUUUGAGUGAGAAUCUUGUUAGGGGAUGAAAAUCUAAACUGAUUCAUUUUUGUUACUCUUACUCACAGAACAUGCGCCCUGUGUGCUGUAGAUGUUCAAGGGAGAUAUAGUGUCCUAGAACAGUCACGUGAUUGUAAGUGAUAACAUGGGCUGCAGCAAACAUAACAAAAUAGAACAAACAUAACAAAAUAGGACGAGGCAAAACUAGAACAAUCUGUCAUUAUCAGCACACAACAGAAGGUACGAACAGAAAUAGAGGUCCUCGAUUAAACUAUAUAGCACUAAUAAGUAAACAAACUAACUAAACAUGGUGAUGCCAAUAAUCAACAAUUCACCAGACAUCACAUUUCUUUUGCUUAAACAGUGUAGUAAGUGAUAAGAUGGGCUGCAGUAAAGAUAUGUGUGACACUGCGCCACGGCAGACAAGGGGAAUGCCGUGCAGUUAUGUUGCAAAAUUGUUGCAGGUUCAGUAUCAAGUGGAAGUUGCAAGAACAAAGGAGGAACAGAAACUCCUUCGCGUUAUUUGCAACCCUGCCUAGUGCAAUCAGGGCAUGGUGGCUUCCAUUGGUGGCACAAACACAGUGCGCACAAGGCGCUCGACUAUUUGACGCCCCCAGCCACCGAGGCCUUGGCCUUCAUGGUGCGAAAUUAGUCACCACAAGUUCACGAGAGGAACGCGCAUACACAUCAGAUCCGGGAUAAGAUCGAACCUGUAGCAAAGCUAGCUCCUCAGAAAAGAAGCACCGAUUUGCCUGAUCGCCUCCUCCCCUUCCCUCGGCACGGCUGUGAGAAAAUAAGAAGGCGAAUCAACCACCAUCCACAGGUAGUCAUGCCAUUACGCAAAAUGUGGAGAAGGGGUGUGUAACCAACCUGCGACCCCACGAUCUUUCCACGUUCGUUUCCCUCUUCUUGCAGCGGUUGACAUCAGGCGAUGCGGCGAAGGGAAGAAGAAGAAAGGGUCUCCGGGAAUUCGUCGUUGGCUGGCCAUCUCGAUGUUUUCCAUUGGCGAAUUUCUUGACCAACGACAAACGUGGGCGCGCAGGGAAGGAGGGGGACGAGGAGCCCGCCAGGGGGCAGGCGCUGAUGAAAGACUCGCGAAAUUUGGGGGGUGCCGGCGGGCGGCAGUUGGAACUUGACCGGUAUAGGCGGAGAGCUCGGUUCCGCGUCCGUUAACAGAUCCGCAUCCUACUCCCUCCAUUCAGAAAAGAAGGAUAAAAAACGCGAGCAAGACGUUAUUUAAAAAAAAUUCUAACUUUUUAGUUUUAAAAAGUCUAAAAAAAUACACGUGUGUACAUAAGGAAGGAUGUAUCGUACGUGUGUUAAAAAUUCAUGCUGAAAUACUAUGAAUUUGCGAGCUGCACAAAAGAACAAAUUCGUUGAUUUUAAGACUGAAUAGUUAAUGAGCUGAAAGCUACAAAUUUGUUUGAUUCUUCUGUAGCCCGCAAUCGAACAAAUUCACCGUCAAAAUUUACACACAUGUACAUGACAUUCCUCUGCAUAUAUGGAUUUUUUUUCUUCAUAGUAUUUUAAAAGAGUAAAGUACACCACAAGUUCUAAAUCUAUUUGAGGGGUGUCAAGUUAGUCCUAAAUUAUCAUGCUUUUACCCAAGAUUGUGGAUGUUGUUCGGAUUGAGUAAUUUAGACCCAUCUACCUGUUGAAUGUUAGUUUUAAAAUCUUCACAAAGAUGGGCACUAAUAGAUUGUCUACUAUUGCUCAUAUGGUUUUGCGCCCAACACAGACUGUCUUUAUGCCUGGUCACAAUAUUCUUGAGGGAGUGGUUGUCCUUCAUGAGACGGUCCAUGAGCUCCACGCUAAGAAACUUGAUGGAGUUUCAUUUAAGGUGGACUCUGAAAAUGCAUAUGACAAAAUCAAGUGGCAUUUUCUUUAACAAGCCCUCCGCAUGAAAGAUUUUGCGGCUGAAUAAAGGAAACAAGUGGCUUCCUACGUUCAAGGCAGGAGUGUUGGGGUUAAGGUGAACGAUGAAAUCAGUCAUUAUUUCCAAACCCGGAAGGGACCGAGGCAAGGUGAUCCCAUGUCACCAAUCUUAUUUCAUAUUGUAGUGGAUAUGUUGGCUAUUCUCAUAGCAAGAGCUAAGGAGGAUGGUCGGGUUGGGGGGCUGAAAGAGCAUGGUGCCCCAUGUUUGGUUUUGUUAAUUGAUGACAAUCUCUAUGGACUAAUGGUUGUCUUGAGUUAUAUUUGAAGGGUUUGUCCAUAUGCUUUUCUCGAAGUCCAUUUGUUGGUUUUAAGGAGUUUAUGUGUUGACCAAGGUGCUAUUCAAGGAAUUAUCCAAAGAGUGGUCAUAUAGAAGACAUGAUUCAAGGUUCAUCAAGACUAAGUCAAAGAGUGAAUCAAGUCGAUCAACACACAAAGCGUAGAAGAUGUACCGAGAGGUAUCAAGUGAUCCCAUGCUAUGGUAAGUAUUGUCCAUUACGCUUUGUGUACUAACCCAUGUCUACGUGAGAAUUCUAUAUGGGGUUAGAUUGCGGUGUGCAAGUUCAAGUGGAGCAUCACGAAGAGAUCAUGCUUGAAGCUUUCCAUCCAUUGUGAUAACAAUGGACUUGUGAAGAUGUGCAAAGAGUGACUCACCCAUAGUGGAGUAUGAGGGAGCAAUCAACUAGUCUUCACCGAGCCAACGCAAUCAAGAAAGGUGGUCCAACUUAAGGAAGUCAAGAUCGUCAUAAUCUAACUCAAGUGGACUAUGUGCAAGGCAAAGGUUUGCCCUUGAGAGAUUUUCUAUUUUACCUGUCUCAUGGUGGUAGUGAACUAUGUGCAAGGCAAAUGUUUGCCCUUAAUAGAUUUUCUAUUUUACCUGUCUCAUGGUGGUAGUUGGGAGACCAGGUUAUAGGAUCGAUUAUCGUACUAUCAAGGGGGGCUCUCAAGUUAGUAGCUUGAUCGUAUCGUUCGUAGAGAGAUCAAACCAUUGCAUUCUUGUAUCAUCUUUCUUGGUUCUUGUUUGGUGUUUCUCUUUGUGAGUUUUAGAGCUUAUGCUCAUCUUCAUGAGAAGCUUGAGUUCAUAGAAAACGGAGUUCAUAUGCAUCUUCUAUGAUGUUUUCGAUGUUGGAGUUUAUGUCGGUUCUUCACUGAUGGAGGUUUCACACCUCUAUAUCAUAGGCAUACUCCCCAUGCCACUUCUUACUAUAACUAGUCGCUGUUGGAUACUACUUGUUGUCUUCUAUCCAACAAGCUAGAGUUUGCUGAUUUCGAAGUCUGUUUGCAGGAGUUAUAGCAAUUUCAGUUUUGGAGCUUCCUUCUGUUUUGCUUGGGCAGUUUCUCAGUUUAAGUGGUAGUACGGCUCCCCCGAGCGGUACUUCUGCUUCCUUCUACUGCAACCACUUCUGCUUAAUUUUAUGCUUCUAUUGCCCAAACUGCUCGAGCGGUAGUGCCUCUCUGGCAGAACUACCGCUCUUGUUUUUCUGUCUCGUUGGGCUGUUAGUACCGCUUGAGCAUGACUUGUGGGCAUAACGGUUGGAUUGGGGGGGGGGCUUCUUCCCCAAUGGUCCCUAUCCUUUGAGCUCGUGUUUGCCACCCAUUGUUGACCUUCUUUGAGCUUGCUACCUCUCAAUCCCUCCCAUGGUUCUUGCUAGUUUUUGAGGGAAAAGAGAGAGGAGGUCUAAAUUCACAUUUCCAACAAUCAUUUUCUAAUGAGGACAUCAAUACCAUUGUGACACCCACACCCCCUACUGCUACAUAUACUGGACCAAUUACUAGAGCUCACGCACGCCAAUUAAAUUAUGAGGUACUUCCGUUUCUUGGUAAUGAUUCUAAUGUUCAUGAGAAUAUGAUGCUGCCUAAAUUGGAUACAUUUGUUUUGCUUACAAAUGAAGGGCCUAGCAUGGAUAAGAGGGAUGAACACUGGAGCAAGACCAAGCAUGGAGAUGAUGGCAUGCGCAAGGGGAACAAGAACGGAGUUACAAGUGAUGAUUUCAGGACUUUGAAGCCACCAAAAUCAAUCUAGACCCCGUUCCGGCACCCUAUCGGAGGGGGAAAUCAUCACCGGUGGCCAUCUUCAUCAUCCCGGCGGCCACCAUGAUGAGGAGGGAGUAGUCCACCCUCGGGGCCGAGGGUUUGUACCAAUAUCUAUGUGUUUAAUCUCUCUCUCUCUCUCUCUCUCUCUCUCUCUCUCUCUCUCUCUCUCGUGUUCUUGAGAUGUCACGAUCUUGAUGUACCACUGGCUUUGUUAAUAUAGUUGGAUCAUAUGGUGUUUUUCCCUCUCUAUCUUGUUGUGAAUUGAGGUUUCCCUUUGAGAUUUUGUUUUAUCGAAUAGAAUACUUGUAUGGAUUUGAGAGCACUUGAUGUAUGUCUUGCUAUGAAUACUCGUGGUGACAAUGGGGGUAUCAUAUUGAUUCACUUGAUAUGUGUUUUGGCACUCAACUUGCGGAUUCCCGAGGUGACAUUGGUGUAAUCUAUGCAUAGGGAUUGAUGCACGUUCUCAUCUUUGUUUCUCCGGUAGAAAUCUUGAGGCACUCUUUGAGGUUCUUUGUGUUGGAUUGGGUAUUAUGAAUCUGAAAUUGUUUGAUGCAUAUCAUAUAAUCAACUCACGGAUACUCGCGGUGACAUUGGAGUAUCUAGGUGACAUUAGAGUUGGUUGAUGUGUAUCAUAUGGUGUUAUUUUAGUACGAACUCUUGGUUAGAUCGGUCAGAAAGAAUAGCUUGGUGUUAUUUUAGUUCGAACUCUAGGAUAGAUUGAUCAGAAAGAAUAGCUUUAAUGUGGUUUCGUACCCUACAAACAAUUUCUUCUUAUGUUCUCCGCUAGAUAGGAACUUCGGAGUGAUUCUUCAUCGCACUUUGAGGGAUGGGUAUAUGAUCCAAUUAUAUUAGCAUUGUUGAGAGAUUGCCCUAGCGAAGGUACGCACCCUAGGCCUCAUUUUCAAGCAUUGCAAUACCAUUUGUGCUCACUUUUGUUACUCGCUACCUUGCUGUUUUUUAUUGUUACUAUUACCAAAAUGAAUAUCUACUAUCAUUACUACACUUGUAUCACCAUCUCUUCGCCGAACUAGUGCACCUAUACAAAUUACCAUUGUGUUUGGUGUGUUGGGGACACAACAGACGUUUUGUUAUUUGGUUGCAGGGUUGUUUGAAAGAGACCAUCUUCAUCCUACGCCUCCCACGGAUUGAUAAACCUUAGGUCAUCCACUUGAGGGAAAAUUGCUACUGUCCUACAAAACUCUACGCUUGGAGGCCCAACACGAGUCUACAAGAAUAAAGGUGUGUAGUAGACAUCAGGCUUACCCCGCAUCUGGUUGAUGGAGGUGUGUCUAUCCUCUAGUAUGCAGACAACACAAUCCUUUUUAUGGAACAUAACUUUCAAAAAGCAAUAAUAUGAGGUUGAUUAUGUGUCUCUUCAAACAACUUUUGGACCUCAAAAUUAAUUUCCACAAAAAUGAGCUCUUCUAUUUUGGUAUGGCCAAAGAGGAGGAGAGUCGGUACAAACAAAUAUUUGGCUGCGAGGUGGGAUCCCUUCUUUUAUCAUAUCUCGAGAUUUCAUUCAUCACCGUAAGCUCACCAACAAGACGCUCAACAGUUGGAAGGGCAAGCUCUUGUCAUAUGAGGGACGACUUACCCUCAUCAACGUUGUCCUUACUAGUCUACUGAUAUUCAUGUUAUCCUUUUUUAAGAUACCUAAAGGGGUCUUGAAAAGGCUAGACUUUUAUCGGUCCAGGUUCUUUUGGAAAUGCGAAGACAAGAAGCGGAAGUACAUACUUGCUAAAGGGGAAAUUCUGUGUAGGCCUAAGGGUCAAGGUGGGUUGGGCAUUGAGAGUCUCAAAAUAAAAAAACAAGUGCUUACUCAACAAAUGGUUGUAUAAGCUACUUAAUGAGGAAUGUGUUUGGCAAGAGUUGCUGCAUAACAAAUACCUGAACUCCAAAAUGUUAUCCCAAGUAGAUGCUAAGCCUAUUGAUUCAUUGUUUUGGAGGGGCUUGAUGAAAUCAAGUCAUCCUUUUUCAAGACAUGUUCCUUUAAGAUUGGUGGCGGCUAAUUGACAAGUUUUUGGGAAGAUACCUGGUUGGGUGACACUCCAUUAGCUCUACAAUACCCAACCCUGGAUAAUAUUGUGUUCAGAAAAGAGGAUUCUGUGGCUUUUGUUCUUGGGGAUAGCCCUCUGAACAUCCAAUUUCGCAGGGCAUUAUUGGGCUACAAAUGGACUAAGUGGAUCCAUUUGGUUUCUAGAUUGAUGUCAAUUAAUCUAACUUGGAUGCCAUAUUCAUUUUAGUGGAGGUUAACCACUAAUGGUGUUUUUAAUGUGAAGUCUAUAUAUGAGGAUCUUGUGGGUUCUAGACCAAAUUUUUGCAGGGAACAUAUUUGGAAAACAAAGGUUCCUUCCAAGAUCAAAGUUUUCAUGUGGUUUUUUGCAGAAAGAGGUUGUUCUUACCAAAGAUAACCUUUUAAGCGUAACUGGCAUGGCAGCAAAAAAUGUUGUUUUGUGGUCAGGGGAGACAAUUCAUCAUUUUUGUUGUCAUGUCCGUUUACAACAUUAAUCUGUUGCAUGAUUCAUGUUACAUAAAAUUUAGCACCACAAACGAGUAUUUCAAAUCUGUUUGGAAACUGGUUAGGUGGCGUUCAUCAUAAGUUGAAGGGCCAAAUCCGUGUAGGCGUUUGUGCACAUUCUUUGAGCAAUAUGGAAUUGUUGGAAUGGUUUCAUCUUUAAUACAUCAUCUUCUCCAAAUUUCUUGCAGGUUAUCUACAGAGCUACAACUUCAAUCCCUAUGUGGUCAUCACCAACAGUGUGUGGACGCGCGAGCGAUUAUGUCCUUUGGGUGUAGUGUUGGGAAACGUUGCAUGGAAAACAAACAAAAUUCUAUGCACACGCAAGAUCUAUCAAGGAUAUGCAUAGCAACGAGAGGGGAGAGUGUGUCUACGUACCCUCGUAGACCGUAAACGGAAGCGUUUCACUACGCGGUUGAUGUAGUCGGACUUUCUUCGCGAUCCAACAGAUCUAGUACCGAACGUACGGCACCUCCGCGUUUAGCACACGUUUAGCUCGGUGCCGUCCCUUGCCUUCUUGAUCAAGCAAGACGUCGAGGUAGUAAAUGAGUUCCGUCAGCACGACAACGUGGUGACGAUGAUGACGAAGUGAUCUCCGCAGGGCUUCGCCUAAGCACUACGAAAAUAUGACCGGAGUGUAAAUGGUGGAGGGGGGCGCCGCACACGGCUAGGCAAUUGCCUUGGGUGUGCUAGGCGCCCCCUCCCACCUAUAUAUAGGUGGGAGGGGGAGGGGAGGCAGCCUGGCGCACCAGAUAGGUGGCCGGCCGGCCCUAGGGCUCCUGCCCUGGCCGCGCCCCCCUGCUUUGUAUUCCCAAGGGGGAAGGAAAGAGGGGGGAGAGGGAAGGAAGUGGGAAUCCUAAUCCACACUUUCCUUUCCCUUCCCCCUUUCCUUCUCCUCAUUAGACUAGCCUGCUAUGGGGGCGCACCAGCCCCUUGUGGCUGGUGUGUUUCCUCUCUUGGCCCAUAAGGCCCAUAUCUUUGCCGGGGGUGCCUGAAACUCCUUUCCGAUGACCCGAUAAGUACCCGGUACCCCCGAAACACUUUCGGUGUCCGAAUACUAUCAUCCUAUAUAUAAAUCUUUACCUCUCAACCAUUUCGAGACUCCUCAUCAUGUCUGUGAUCUCAUCCGAGACUCCGAACAACAUUCGGUCACCAAAUCACAUUACUUAUAUAAUAUUAUAUCAUCAACGAACGUUAAGCAUGCGGACCCUACGGGUUCGAGAACUAUGUAGACAUGACCGAGACACCUCUCUGGUCAAUAAUUAAUAGCGAACUUGGAUGCCUAUAUUGGUUCCUACAUAUUUGGUAACCCACAAGUAUAGGGGUUCGCAAUAGUUUUCGAGGGUAGAGUAUUCAACCCAAAUUUAUAGAUUCGACACAAGGGGAGCCAAAGAAUAUUUGUAAGUAUUAGCAGCUGAGUUGUCAAUUCAACCACUCCUGGAGAUUAAUUAUUUGCAGCAAAGUGAUCAUUAGCAAAGUAGUGUGAUAGUUUUCAUAGUAGUAGCAACAGCAGUUGUAACGGUAACAGUGAUAGCAAUGAUUUUGUAGCAAGUGCAACAGUAACAACAGCAGUAGUAACUUAGCAAGAUCAAUAUGUAGGAAAAUCAUAGGCAUUGGAUCGGCGAUUUGUUGGAUGAUAUUCAUCAUGUGACAGUUAUAACCUAGGGCGAUACGGCACUAGCUCCAGUUCAUAAAUAUAAUGUAGGCAUGCAUUCCGUAAAUGGUCAUACGUGCUUAUGGAAAGAACUUGCAUGACAUCUUUUGUCCUACCCUCCCGUGGCAGUGGGGUCCUAUUGGAAACUAAGGGCUAUUAAGGUCUCCUUUUAAUAGAGAACCGGAAAAAAGCAUUAACACAUGGUGAAUACAUGAACUCCUCAAACUACGGUCAUCACCGUGAAGUGUCCCGACAAUUGUCACUCCGGGGUUGCCGGAUCAUAACACGUAGUAGGUGACUAUAACUUGCAAGAUCGGAUCUAGAACAUAGAUAUAAUGGUGAUAACAUAAACGGUUCAGAUCUGAAAUCAUGGCCCGGGCCCAAAGUGACAAGCAUUAAGCAUGGCAAAGUCAUAGCAACAUCAAUCUCAGAACGUAAUGGAUACUAGGGAUCAAACCCUAAAAAAACUAACUCGGUUACAUGAUGAAUCUCAUCCAACUCCUCACCGACGAGCGAGCCUUCGAAGGAAUUACUCACUCCCGGUGGGGAGCAUCAUGGAAUUGGUGAUGGAGAAGGGUUGGUGAUGACGAAGAUCGAAGAUCCCCGUCUCUAGAGCCCCAAACGGACUCCAGAUCUUGCCUCCUGAUGAAGAACACGAGAUCGCGGCGGCUCCGUCUCGUGGAACCUGAUAAUUCUUUCUCCCUGAUUUUUUCUUGAAAAAUGCGAUUUUAUAGCGUCGGUUUCAGGGUAUGCGGGGCCACCAGGUGGGGACAGCUCACCUGGGCGCGCCUGGAGGGGGUGGCGCGCCCUAGUGGGUUGUGCCCACCCAGGUGCCCCCCUCCGGUGGUUCUUGGCUCCAGAAAUUAUCUUUUAUUGUAAAAAACCCCCGCAAAGUUUCGUUCCAAUCCGAGAACUUUUAUUUCUGCACAAAAACAACACCAUGGUAGUUCUGCUGAAAACACGCCAGUAUGGGUUAGUUUCAUUUAAAUCAUGCAAAUUAGAGUCCAAAACAAGAGGAAAAGCGUUAGGAAAAGUAGAUACGACAGAGACGUAUCAACUCCCCCAAGCUUAAACCAUUGCUUGUCCUCAAGCAAUUCAGUUGAUAAACUGAAAGUGAAAAAUAAAAACUUUUACGAACUCUUUUGCUCUUGUUUGCAUAAAUAAGUGUCACGCCCAAGAUGCGAUUCUAUCCCAAUCACGUGAUGAAUUCAUGAUCGGGGCACAAUCGCAUUUCGAGCGCAUAGCAAGGUGGAUAUCAUGAAUGACAAACAAGACAUCCCCGAAUCAGCAUAGCCAAGGAUUCUUUAAGACACCUCACGACCACUGUAAAUCGACCGUGAAAAACGAACCACUAGACGUUGGACCCCAAUAUCAAAUCAUACAUCUGUGGAAAAGAAAUCUUAGGUAACUACUUGAAUUCCCACCUAUUAACUCCCGAAACUUUCUGGUUAUGCAAUCCAGUGUUGGGGAUACAGGGAGGCACAAAUAUCUCACACAACUAACAAGCCCUAUGCUCCAACUGUAUCAAUCCUUCAACACAUAACCAAGAAACCUUCGGAAAUUGUGUACCUCAGACCUUCGAAAACAUCCGAUAUACUAGUUGUGGCAAUACAUCUGAUCACUCUCCCCAGUACUGGGUGUCGUCAAACUACUCUCACCACAAAGAGUAUAGAAGCGUUUUCGAUGCCGGCGACCUCUGGUAUUCCAGAACUGAAACGAUAAACACUGUGACAAAAACACAUUGGAGCUCAACUCCCUAGGACACUGCCACAACCCCUAAAUGUCAGGAGGCACCAAGACAGAAUUCCCGUCACAAUGAUAUCGCAACGAUCCAACAAUACCCGCGUGAUCCUAAAAAAAAGUUUUGAGUGAAAAGGAGGAGAGUGAAAGUCAAAACAUCUACGUCAGGAGUCCUCACCAGAGCGAUGAGGGGGAUAAGGAAUAAAAAGAAUUCCUACUCUCCGAUAUAACUAGACUCAAAAUUGUUUUUUCUAGACUCAACAAUGGUAGCGGUUCGAUCAAUCAAGGGGGCUCCUAAGGUCGGUAAGGCUCUGAUACCAACUUGUAACGCCCCGGACGAUCCCGCCAGGAGUAACGACUACCGGCGGGUGCGUCCGGGGCGUUACAAUAAGCUUAAAUAACACCCAAGUUUUCAUCCAAUAUUAUAACUAACCAUGUCGACAAUAACUCUUAAAAAUUAUAUUAACUCAUAUCAAUGACAUAGUCAGCUAGCGAGCAAUAAUAAGAAAUCUCAAACAACAACACGUUGUCAAAACAACCAUGAUAUAAUAUGACAUUAGUGGUAUCUCGCUAGCCCUUUCUGAGACCGCAAAACAUAAAUGCAGAACACCUCCAAAGUUCAAGCAACGACUAAACAUUGUAAUUCAUGAUAGAAAAGAUCCAGUCAUGAUGCACCCAACAUUAGCUACACACAAUGCAUAAGCAUGACAUCAGUGCUCUCAGGUUCUGGCGCUUAUUUUAGAAGGUGAUGACACAACAUAAAAGUAAAUAGAUAGUCCCUUCACAGAGGGAAGCAGUGAUUUGCAGUGGUGCUAGAGCUCAAUUUUUAAAACAAAGGUAAAUGAUCUUUUGAGAAAUGCACCCUUCUUGUUUACUUCGCAACCAUCAAUUAUCAAUAUCUUCCAUGCUAAACACAUUAGCGGCGGUUCCCAAGCGAUAAAGUAAAGGUUAUUGCUCCAUAGAAGUUUUUGUUUGAUUAAUUGUAAGCUCUUUUUGCAAUUUGGCACUGGGCAUCCCUAUUACCGCCCCCUUCUCGUGCAAUGGCGAGUAAAUAAACACCCAACCUGGGAAUAACCCACUUAGCAUGAAAGAUACCGACUACCUCCUGUCACUCUAUGAACAAUCCAGGCACACAAAAAGGAUAUUUAUUUGAAGUUUUUAGAGGUGGCACAUGCAAAUUUACUUAGGAUGGCAGGGUAAUACCGCAUAUAGGUAGACAUGGUGGACUCAUCUAGAAUAACUUGGGUUUCAGGUUUUGGAUGUACAAGCAGAAUUCCCACUUAGUACAGGCGAAGGCUAGCAAAUAGGUUGAGAAGCUAUCGGCCAGCUAGAGUGUAACAGCCUGGAUUUUGGCCCUUUUCUUUUUCUUUUAAUUUAAUUGGUUUUUGCUCUGUUUUUCUUUUUGGAGUGGUUCUGUGGCCUUGUCACCUGGGAAAUCAUCCUCUUUUUCCCUCCCAAGUGGCUCAUCAUUCUCAAAACCUUGCCAAGAUCAUGUCACUCCACUGCUUGACCAAACCCUAAUUUCUUUUUCUCAGGAAUAUUCCUUUUUCUAUUAAAGGAAUAACCCUGUCUGCCCUAGGUUGUUAAGCAACCUUUAUUUCCAUCACUCCUAAAAUUCCCAAAUAAUUCUCAAAAAUUGUUUGGAUCAUAUCUUUCUCAAAUAUGGCAAAAUAUUUCAUUUGUCAUGUUUAUCAUCAUGCUCAAAUAAUUCAUUUCCUAUUCUGCCCUAAAUGGCACAUUGUGAAGCAAGUGCUAUUUUAAUUUUCCCAAUUGAUCUCCAACUCCUUGGACACCUUUUCCUGUCCAUAUAAUUCCCACAUGCCAAAAUGCAACCUCAUUUGCCUAGUAAUUAUUUAAUUAUGAUUUUCCAAAGUUUCUUCCCAAAAAGAAGCUUUGUGAAGGAGGUGCAAGCUAGGAAUAUCAAAAUGAGUUGCCAUUUUGCAUGAUCCCUCAUAUCAUCGUAUCAUAGCCCUCCACAAAGUAGAGCUCAUUUCAUGCCUCCAUGUGAGCUCAUAUUCAAUUCUUUGAUUCUGCCCAAAAUUUCAGUUUGUGAAGAAAGUAUAUUUUAUCUUGCUCCAUUAUGGCUUUCAAUUUUUCUAGGCCUUCUAUUAUCCAUAUAACCUACCUCCACCCAUUUUGGGGAUAGUUCAUCAAGCCAUUAUUCCUCUAGAAUUUUUGCAAGUUUCUGGUCAGAAAGGAUGUUUGUGAAGCAAGUACCAUUUUGGUGAAUCCAAUUGGUAUGAAACUUAUACAGCAUCUUUAUAUGAUCAAAUAAUGAAGGAUUGCCAAACUUGAGCUCAAGUGGCCACACCAUUUGAGUGCAUCAUCCAAAUCUCAUUUCUGGACCAUUUUGGUCAGUUGCAAAGCAACUAUGAUUUAUAUUGCUCCAAUUAUUCUCCAAAUUACCAGGAUGAAAGUCCUUCUUUACCUAAACCUCUCAGACAACUCCAUUGGAUCCAAAACCCUUCCUCUUGAUCACUAGUGCUCACCCAAGUUUACUGCAGUAAACUUCAGAGGGUUCUUACCGUUUAACAAGAUCACUUUUAACCAAUCUACCACCGUAGAGGAGACCUACCCUGGAUGAACUUACCACUAGACAUCAUGUUCAAGCCUGUCGCCCCCGCUACAUGCCAGUGCACGCGCUCUGUGUGCAGUGGCCGCGCCCAGUGGCUGUUUGUGCUUCGACCCCUCCUCCUCUCAUCGUCUUCGCGCGCGUGAGCAUGUCCAAGAGUUUUACCGCGUCGUCGCCGUCGUCCUUGACCUCUCUCCCUCUUAGUAAAACCGCUCACCGACGCUCGCCGCCGAACGCCCACGAGAGCACAGUGCUCCGUUUGGCUCUGCUCGUUGCCGUCGUCAUCCUCCCCGUGCUCCCUUGGCCGCCUCUGCCCCGUGAGAGACUCCACUGUGCCUCCCUCGUCGCCUGCCUCCGAGCUCAUGCGCGUGGGCACGCGUCCGCGGCGCCGGCCACGCGUCCGCGGCGACGCCAGCACGGCUCCCCCUCCCGUCGGCUAUAUAAGCCACCCCGAGCUCCCUAGACCGCACCAGCCUCCUCACCUCUCCCCUCUAGGCCUCCCCGACCACCCAAACGAGCUCGCGGAGCUCUCGUUGCCCUCCCAUGGCCGAAGCUUCGCCGCGGUGCUCCGCUCAAAUCCGGCCGACCCGAGCCACCCCUCCACUCCCUGAUCUUACCCUAGUAUUCCCCGUGCUCCUGCGAGUCUCCUCAACCCCAAGCCUUGCCGCCGGAGCAGCCACAUCGCCAUUCCCGCAUCUGCCCGAACCGCCGUCCGCCGGAGUUCAUGUCGUCGUCGCCUCAGUCCAUUCUGGAGCCCGUGACCUCCACCUUCGGGUGCGGCUCCUCCUGCUGAGCUCGCCCAUAGGUCGAGCGAGGCGAGGGAUGGCCGGAGCCGGCCGGACGAGCCCCCGCGCCGGCGACGUCCCUCUGCUCCGCGGGCGCGAGCGAGGUAGAUGAAGACGACGACCCCCCCUGCGAACUGGCCGCGGGCCCCGCGCGUCAGCCCCUCAGCCGUUGACCCGCCAGCCAUGUCAGAUAAGUGGAGACGAAUUUCCAGCUUUCCGUUUUCUCCUUCCAAAAGCGUAUUUCGCCUCUAUUUCAGCUAAAAUACGCUUCCCUUAUCUGAAAGCGUAUUAUGUAUCUGUUUCAGCAAGGAAUACGUUUUCCCUGAAGCCAAGGCGUAUUCUUUAAAGUACGCUUUCCGUUUUUCUGCCCAGGCCCAAUUUGUUAAGAUUUUUCUUACAGAUAGGCCCCUGACAGAGAAACAAGUGUAUCUUUUUACUCCUAGCUCCGAAUCAGGUGAAUCCAAAGCUCACUUCUUCGUUUCGUCGAGCCCGUUCUGAUGGAAUCAUUUUCAGCAUGUUUUGACAUUCUGAAAAUGACCAUUUUGCCCCUGCCUUAUUUAGCCCCCUCCGAGAGAGAACGUUUUCGACGAUCCUUUCCGCGAGCUUCUCGCACUUCUUUUCGGUGAUUUCUUCCACCCCAGGCAAGACACACCCUCCAUUUGCAUGAUUGCAAUGCAGUGACAUGGUUUCUUUAUUUAAACUUGUUUAAAAUAUUGUGUUAGCUAGGUAUGAUUUGUUCAUGGCAUUUCUCGGAGUAUUGUUUGAUCUUGAUAUUGCCAUGAUAUUGCUUGGAGUUCUAGGAUUAAUAUUUUGAUGAUUAUGUGGAUGACAUGUGCCUUCGGAUUCUUAGUGGUUAUUAUGAUUAUUUUUCAUGAUGGUAUCUGGUGAUAUUUUGGAGUAUUACUUUGGAUAUCAUGCUGCCUUUGGAUUAUUAGUGGUUAGUAUGAUUAUUUUUCAUGAUGCUAGUUGACGUUCUGUUGCUUGGAGUAUUAUUUUCGGAGAUGAUGUUUACAUGUGGAUCUUAGCCGAAUAGCUUUAUUCUUGUUAUUGGAGUAGUAGGAUUAUUGAUUUUCGGAUUCAUCAUGACAGUAGUGUUGUGCUACCCUUGGAGUAUUUUGAGAUGAGGAGAUUAUGCUUGGAUUAUUUGUUGGAUAUUGCUAUGACUUGGAUUAUAGGUUGAUAGAUGAUAUUGGAGUAUCAAUUACCACAGUUAUAUUUUUGGGGAUAAAUUCCGUCAUUAAGUUGGUCAAGUGCCACCGAACCGGGCUUUUCCAGUGCAACCACAUUUGCCUUUAUGGGAAGGCCCUAAUGCGGUCUAUUGUCAUGUCUCUCGCCGGUGCCUCCAACGAGGGAAGGUUAUGGGCGUGCGUACCCUGGCCCGGUAAGCAGACAUAACCUUGUGUGCCCGUUGUUGUUGUUAUGGAUCUGGUCCCCGUGAGGGACGUUUUGGCCACGACAGUGGUCGGUGUGUCUUUGGUAGACACGGGGCCACCCAGGACCAAACCCAGAAGGGAUGUUGGUCGGAGUGGCCGGGAGAGUGUCAUGGCAGUAGAUCGGUUUUGUCGGAACGCCGUUGGUCCACCCGAAUGGGAGUACGAGGUCAUGGGUUCUGUGGUGUGGGUACAAUGUGCUACCUCUGCAGAGUGUAUUAAUCUAUCGAUAGUCGUGUCCUCGGUCAUGGGCAUGGGUUCGUACUAGGUCCCACCAUUUGAUCAACACUCACAUGACGGAAUGACUUAUAGGUGAUUUAUAUGAUGAUAUAUUGUGAGCAGUAACAGUUUGGCAGGAUGUUGAUGAUGAUGUUGGAGACCAAGUGUUGGUCAUGGUUGUGAUCGCCGGAAAGAUCACAGUUUGAGACCAAGUGUUGGUUAUGGUAGUGAUCGCCGGAAAGAUCACCGUGUGGUUUUGAUCAUGAGUUGAUCGAGAUGGUAUAUUGCUUGGCCGGUUAGCUAAGAGAGAUAUGGUUAUGGAGAUCUGAGAUGGCGAUUUAUCAGCACCGUAUUAGUUUCAUCUCAUGCUUAGUAGUUGCUUCAUCAUGGUAGUUGUUAAUCAAUUAACCUGUUAAUGCUAUGUUAUUGUCUUGCCUUGAUGUUUAUGGUUUUUGUGAGCUUGCAAGUACAUUCAAUGUACUGACCUGGUGUGUCAUGCCAGAUUGCAGGUGAUGUCAUGAUUGCUUGAUUGCUUGUCGAGGUUGCCGUGCGUGCGAGCUAGAUCGUGUCCCAGCCAGAGUCCCUGCAGAGUGGAGUUCACCACCUUCGUCGUUGUUCCGCUGCUAGAAGUAUUCCGCUGCUACGAGUUGUUCCGCUGCUAGCAUAGAGCAAGUAUAGUAUCGCAGGCGUGGUGUCGCAGUGCUGAUGUGCUUCUUUGUAACAUCAGACCCUUCUAAUUUUUAUUCUUGUAAUAAGAGAUGAUUUGUUCUAUGUCAAGCAGUGCCGUAUUCCAGAGACUUCUCCUCGAUCUCUGGGCUGGAAUACGGGGCGUUCCGGUUUCUCUGAGCCGGGGUGCCACAUAGAGAGCAACAACGGUCAUGAAGAUGCAUUAUGCGUAAGUAACAUUGGAUACUAGCAUGAGUAGGAUAUGAACACAAUGAACAUAAAUAUCAUAGAGGCUAUGUUGGUUUUGAUUCAACUACAUGCAUGAACAUGUGCCAAGUCAAGCCACUCGAACAUUCUGAGGAGGAUACCAUAUCAUCAUACUACAUCACAAUCAUUUUAACGCAAUGUUGACAUCCAAGAUAAAUCAUUAUCCACACCUAGCUACUUAUGCAUGGCAUGAGAAACUAUAAUCUCUAAUGGUCAUUGCAAACAUGUUUAAUCAUAAUAGGCUGAAUCAUGGAUACUAGGUUAAACAUAUUUACAAAAACAGAACAAGUCGAGUUCAUACCCG